AUUGAACGCUGGCGGCAGGCCUAACACAUGCAAGUCGAGCGGAGCGGCGGACGGGGGAGGAAUGCCUAGGAAUCUGCCUGGUAGUGGGGGAUAACGUCCGGAAACGGGCGCUAAGACCGCAUAAUAUCAGAUGAGCCUAGGUCGGAUUAGCUUGUUGGUGGGGUAAAGGCCUACCAAGGCGACGAGCCGUAACUGGUCUGAGAGGAUGAUCAGUCACACGGGAACUUAGACACGGCCCAGACUCCUACGGGAGGCAGCAGUGGGGAAUUUUGGACAAGGGGCGAAAGCCUGAUCCAGCCAUGCCGCGUGUGUGAAGAAGGUCUUCGGAUUGUAAAGCACUUUAAGUUGGGAGGCGUUACCUACAGAAUAAGCACCGGCUAACUUCGUGCCAGCAGCCGCGGUAAUAC
rnacentral:rRNA from 1 species